rnacentral:rRNA from 1 species
AGAGUUUGAUCAUGGCUCAGGAUGAACGCUAGCUACAGGCUUAACACAUGCAAGUCGAGGGGAAACGACAUCGAAAGCUUGCUUUUGAUGGGCGUCGACCGGCGCACGGGUGAGUAACGCGUAUCCAACCUGCCCAUCACUUGGGGAUAACCUUGCGAAAGUAAGACUAAUACCCAAUGAUAUCUCUAGAAGGCAUCUGAAAGAGAUUAAAGAUUUAUCGGUGAUGGAUGGGGAUGCGUCUGAUUAGCUUGUUGGCGGGGUAACGGCCACAAGCAACGAUCAGUAGGGGUUCUGAGAGGAAGGUCCCCCANAUUGGAACUGAGACACGGCCCAAAUCCUACGGGAGGCA